GGGUCUGUAGCUCAGUUGGUUAGAGCAUCGCUCUGAUAAGGCGGGGGUCGGAGGUUCAAGUCCUCCCAGGCCCACCA
rnacentral:tRNA from 1 species